CCUACGGGGUGCUGCAGUGAGGAAUAUUGGUCAAUGGGCGCGAGCCUGAACCAGCCAAGUCGCGUGAGGGAUGACGGCCCUACGGGUUGUAAACCUCUUUUGCCGGGGAGCAACGGGCGCCACGUGUGGCGCCACUGAGAGUACCCGGCGAAAAAGCCUCGGCUAACUCCGUGCCAGCAGCCGCGGUAAUACGGAGGAUGCGAGCGUUAUCCGGAUUUAUUGGGUUUAAAGGGUGCGUAGGCGGAUCGUUAAGUCAGUGGUCAAAUUGAGGGGCUCAACCCCUUCCCGCCAUUGAAACUGGCGUUCUUGAGUGGAAGAGAAGUAUGCGGAAUGCGUGGUGUAGCGGUGAAAUGCAUAGAUAUCACGCAGAACCCCGAUUGCGAAGGCAGCAUGCCGGCUUCCGACUGACGCUGAAGCACGAAAGCGUGGGGAUCGAACAGGAUUAGAUACCCCAGUAGUC
rnacentral:rRNA from 1 species